CAGUCGCGUCUGUCGGGAUUCAGCCUGGCUUCUGCCUGGUGUACUUCCCGGCCGACGGGUCAGCAUCAGUUUCGACCGAGAGAGAAAGGCUUGGGGAAUGUGGCUGUCUUCGGGCAGUGUUAUAGACCCUUGCUUACGGUUAUCAAAGUCGAUGGUCAAUAGGUUAGAACGGGUUAAAUUCGUUAAGGAUGUUGACGUAAUGGCUUUAAACGACCCCGUCUUGAAACACGGACCAAGGAGUCUAGCAUAUAUGCGAGUGUU
rnacentral:rRNA from 1 species